GGGGGCGGGGGCCUAAUAAUGCAGUCGAGCGAGCAGAGAAGGAGCUUGCUCCUUUGACGUUAGCGGCGGACGGGUGAGUAACACGUGGGCAACCUACCUUAUAGUUUGGGAUAACUCCGGGAAACCGGGGCUAAUACCGAAUAAUCUGUUUCACCUCAUGGUGAAAUAUUGAAAGACGGUUUCGGCUGUCGCUAUAGGAUGGGCCCGCGGCGCAUUAGCUAGUUGGUGAGGUAACGGCUCACCAAGGCGACGAUGCGUAGCCGACCUGAGAGGGUGAUCGGCCACACUGGGACUGAGACACGGCCCAGACUCCUACGGGAGGCAGCAGUAGGGAAUCUUCCACAAUGGGCGAAAGCCUGAUGGAGCAACGCCGCGUGAGUGAAGAAGGAUUUCGGUUCGUAAAACUCUGUUGUAAGGGAAGAACAAGUACAGUAGUAACUGGCUGUACCUUGACGGUACCUUAUUAGAAAGCCACGGCUAACUACGUGCCAGCAGCCGCGGUAAUACGUAGGUGGCAAGCGUUGUCCGGAAUUAUUGGGCGUAAAGCGCGCGCAGGUGGUUUCUUAAGUCUGAUGUGAAAGCCCACGGCUCAACCGUGGAGGGUCAUUGGAAACUGGGAGACUUGAGUGCAGAAGAGGAUAGUGGAAUUCCAAGUGUAGCGGUGAAAUGCGUAGAGAUUUGGAGGAACACCAGUGGCGAAGGCGACUAUCUGGUCUGUAACUGACACUGAGGCGCGAAAGCGUGGGGAGCAAACAGGAUUAGAUACCCUGGUAGUCCACGCCGUAAACGAUGAGUGCUAAGUGUUAGGGGGUUUCCGCCCCUUAGUGCUGCAGCUAACGCAUUAAGCACUCCGCCUGGGGAGUACGGUCGCAAGACUGAAACUCAAAGGAAUUGACGGGGGCCCGCACAAGCGGUGGGAGCAUGUGGUUUAAUUCGAAGCAACGCGAAGAACCUUACCAGGUCUUGACAUCCCGUUGACCACUGUUAGAGAUAAUGGUUUCCCCUUCGGGGGGCAACGGUGACAGGUGGCUGCAUGGGUUGUCGUCAGCUCGUGGUCGUGAAGAAUGUUGGGGUUAAGUCCCGCCAACGAGCGCAACCCCUUUGAAUCUAGCUGGCAUCAAUUUAGUGGGCACCUCUAAAGGUGGACUGGGCCGGUGAACAAAAAAACC
rnacentral:rRNA from 1 species